AACGAACGCUGGCGGCAUGCCUAACACAUGCAAGUCGAACGAGACCUUCGGGUCUAGUGGCGCACGGGUGCGUAACGCGUGGGAACCUGCCCUUAGGUUCGGAAUAACUCCCCGAAAGGGGUGCUAAUACCGGAUAAUGUCUUCGGACCAAAGAUUUAUCGCCUUUGGAUGGGCCCGCGUUGGAUUAGCUAGUUGGUAGGGUAAAAGCCUACCAAGGCGACGAUCCAUAGCUGGUCUGAGAGGAUGGUCAGCCACACUUGGACUGAGACACGGCCCAGACUCCUACGGGAGGCAGCAGUGGGGAAUAUUGGACAAUGGGCUGAAGGAUGAAUCAGCAAUGCCGCGUGAGUGAUGAAGGCCUUAGGGUUGUAAAGCUCUUUUACCCGGGAUGAUAAUGACAGUACCGGGAGAAUAAGCUCCGGCUAACUCCGUG
rnacentral:rRNA from 1 species